ACUCAAAGGAAUAGACGGGGGCCCGCACAAGCGGUGGAGCAUGUGGAUUAAUACGUCACUAACCGUAGAACCUUACCCAGGCUUGACAUCCCGAGGAUCCCUCUGAAAGGAGGGAGUGCUUCGCAAGAAGAGCUCGGAGACAGGUGUUGCAUGGCUGUCGUCAGCUCGUGUCGUGAGAUGUUGGGUUAAGUCCCGCAACGAGCGCAACCCUCACCGUAUGUUGCCAGCGUAAAGUCGGGCACUCUUACGGAACUGCCCGGGUAACCGGGAGGAAGGUGGGGAUGACGUCAAGUCAGCAUGGCCCUUACGCCUGGGGCUUCACACAUGCUACAAUGGCCGGUACAGAGGGCACCGAUACCGUGAGGUGGAGGCAAUCCCAAAAAGCCGGUCUCAGUUCGGAUUGCAGGCUGCAACUCGCCUGCAUGAAGUCGGAAUCGCUAGUAACCGCCGGUCAGCUAAACGGCGGUGAAUACGUUCCCGGGCCUUGUACACACCGCCCGU
rnacentral:rRNA from 1 species